rnacentral:lncRNA from 1 species
UAUUAUUAGGUGGGCUGAGUUUUGGGUUUAAAUAGAGCACAUAUGUAACAUAACAUUCUCAUCUCAAACUCAAAAUCGAGCAGCAAAUAGAAGAGUGGAAGAUCGAUCACUAGCAAAGGCUGUUGGGAGGCAAUGAACAAAGGGUCAUCACAAGAUUUUUUGUUCUUGAUUCACCGUGACAUAAGAUCGAAAGUGAAAAACCCGAGGUAAGAAGGAAGACGAGAAAAAAAGAGGCUGGGAACAGACAGAGCAUGGAUAGAGCUUACUUACAGAAACCCUUUUGUUUUGACCCUUCCCAUGCACUGCCUCUUCCCUGGCCUUUUUCCCUCUUCUCUUCCACCCUCUUUUUCUUUUUUGGUCAAACCGAAAGUAUGAUUGAUUUAAUUCUUUACGCUAAAGCUUAUCUUCAAAAGUUAAUGAUUCUAAUUUGUUUUAUUGGUCUUGAUCGAAUUGGACGAAUCAUUUGCGAAGGCGACAUGGUACCGGUACUCGUCGACCAAGAACCAAGAGCCCGAGAUCAACCGUUCACCGAUACAUGAGUUCAUCGUGGCCAACGCUAGAACAAAGCUCAUGCAUGUAUUCAAGGUCCAAGGAAAACAAUAUUGGUGUAGAUUGAACAUAUAGUUUGUAGAUAUAUACUCGGUCAAUAUCAUCCAACCAAGUGUUUAACCAACCCGGUUCGACCAACAGAUUAUUUUCUUAAUAAACCAACUACUACUGUGAAUAAGUAAAGACUGAAUCUUCCAGUUUGUUCUCUGCACAAAAAUCAACCGAUGUUGCCAUAUGAUCAAGGGAAAUCUAAAACACUAUGAUCUGUAGUAUCUACACCCAAAUAGCUGCAAGAGUCUUAUGUACGAAACCUACCGCGACCAAAACCACUGAUCGUUGCAAAUGACUCAUAAAAAGCCUACGCUAUCUUAAAACUAACGAAACGUUAUAUCGAAUUAGCGCGAAUGUCAGAAGGUUUUAUGUCCAGGGUAGGGGCCGGCAGGAGGAGGAAGAUGUCGGAAUACGAUUCCAUCAGGCGCAAUUACCAAAGGAACAACCACCGGGGAACUUCCCGUGAACUGCAAAGGAUGUGGCGGAGGAUGGAACUUCCGGACUGGUUUUCUUCGAUUUCCAUUCAUCAACGCCGAUGAUGAAACUACCUUACGCCUCUUGUUGGCAGGUUGCGAAGCGGUUGAGGAAGAAGACGUAUUGUUUGUGGCGCAAGAAACCCCUGCAGCUUUCGGGGACGCAGUCUCUGGUCGAAUUUUGUUCGCCUUCCGCUUCUCGAGAAACGAAAUGCGUGCCUUGAAACUAUCGACCAAGUAAUGAUCCGAAACAGAUGUGAGUAAUGCUUUCCAUAUCUGUAGCUCUUUACUGAGGUCUUCAAUCUGCCAACCAAGCAAGUUUAAUUGAGAGCAUCAUUAUUAUUAUAUAUAAGCAAUGUAGUUAGAAUCUCGACAAGAACAUGCCUCGUCAUCUUGGGUUGUAGGAUCGCGCAACAUCUUCGAACGUUUGAAAAGAUAACUACUCAUGAGUUUUUUUACUGAAGGGGAGUUCUCGAGCAAGCUCGACGAAUGAAUACACUGAAGAGCUUGCCUCGGCCGCUUGUUUCUCAGCAGGUACUCGAUAAACUCUGUCAACAAUGGUUUAUCCCUUGACAUGAGAAGAAAUUGAGAGGUAAUAAUAAGAGAAGGCAUGUGAUAUGAGAGAGUACUUACUGGAAACCAAAUCUUCGAAGCGAACAGCUCGAAACAGCUUAGUAAGGUUCAAGCAGCAAUGGCUGGUCUGGAAAAGGUUGAACAAGUCAUGCAGGUCGAAAGCGGAGUCCAGGUUAUAGGCAGCUAAGAACAAUACGAAACUAACGAGUUCUGUGUUCUCGUCUUUUAUCUGAUUAGCAGCAACUAGUUUAGAUUUCCAGUCCUCAGCGAAGCUCAGCGCUUCUCUCUGUGUGUUUUCGCUAAUCUGGGGAGCCAUUCGCCACAUUCGGUCCAUCAAUAACAGCGGACUGUGUUCUGGGAAAGCAAACCGGACUUGUUCUUCUUCAUCUCCCCGCUUCCAUUUGAAAGAAGAGGGAUUCUUUACUACUCCUAGAACACACUCUGCUGGAUCUGAUACGAGUUGGAGACAAGCGGAUACCUCGGAGCAAUGUAACUCGUUUUUUUCGAUUUUCCAGCAUAACGAUUUCAGAUUCGUUCCGCCCUUCUUGAGGCAUUCAGGCAUGAACAGCGAGGUUUUGCCGCCCUUUAAAUUUUCGAUCUCAUCCACUUCAGAGAGGUGAAAUUCGAGGAGCGGAUCGGUGCAACCAGCUGAAAUACCAAAGAUGUUAUACAAUAGCAGAAUAACUAGUUACAGCAAAAAAGCAUCAAAUGGAUUACCUUGAUGGUCACUGGUUAAACUUUCCUGAUCCUCAUGAGGUAAAUUCGACAUUUCUGGCUGCUGCGAAGGUAAAUUCCCAGAGGUAGCAUGCUCGAGAUCGGUAUGGUCGUUUUGAUUACCAUCCGCACAAGCAUCUAUCCAUGAACGUUUAGCUCCACUACAUUGAGGUAUCAUCAGCCUAUCGGGAGUGAUGGGACCAGUAUCCGAUGACACAAGAACAGCAUCGGACUCAUGAUAUUCUUUCGAACAAGGUGACAAACUUGGGAACUCAUUGUGCAACUCAAGUGCAGAAACAAGUCUAUAAGCUUCAUACUGGAGCUUAUUUUCAAUAAGCUUUUGAAUUACACCUUCUCGGAGAAACAGAAAAAGUUUACAGGUAUGUUCAUCCAAACGAAGCUAAGCUCUGAACAAAUACUCAAUUACAG